UCAAAUUUAUGAGCUCUAAUGUAUAGGUGUGAAUGACUUAUCAACUAAAUUAACUUUACUUGACGCAUAAUUUUAUAGUUUAUGUAGCUUAUAAAAGUGGUUUCUUUAGGAUUAAGAUAACACGUUAUUAUUUGCAAGAUCUAAGUUAUGAAUUCAAUCCAUAAUUAAAUAUUAGAAAUACAAAUUUCAAUAAAGAGUGGUCUAAUAAAUAUGGUAUCCAAUAUGAAUCAUACAUGAGUCAUGAUAGCAUCAUAUUAUAUUCUCUUUAACAAAUAUUCUACACAUAUCCACACUCAAAUAUGCUAAGAUUUGGUUAAAAAUAUACAAGUCCGGUAAAGAUGUUGUAAGCAAAUUAAGCAUCUGAUGCUAUCUAGAACACCGAACUCUCCAACUGGUGUCCAUAGGCAGUUAUUCCCAUUAUCCUCAAAUACCACCAUUCCCUUACUCUUGUAACUUUGUGAUAUAUUCCAAUUCCUCUCUCUCAGCACUCACCGUCUGAUGCUAUAAAAAUGACAAUGCUUGUUGUAAUUGAGGCAACCAGCCGCUUUCAUAAGCCUUUAACUUUCUCCUCUUGUCUUCAUUUGUGAAAGAGGCUUUCUUUUGUCUGAAAACUAUGGCUUCCUUGAAGGCUGAAAAGCCAGUUGGCACUCAGCUGUUUGGGCAGCCCAAGAAGGAGCCUGCCAAGGCUGAAUCUACAGCCAAAACUCCGGCAUCCAAGCCGGCCUCCAAGAAGCAAGCCGCCCAAAAACCCCAGGAACCUAAGAAGAAGGGAAAAGGUGGCAAAGCAGCAGCAAAGCACUAACCAAAAUACUAGCAUGAUGCAACAAAUAUGAACUAGGAAACUACAUGAAUAUCUCUAAUUCCGUAGCUGUCUUUCUAAUUAAUUAUUAAUAUGUUUGCAAACUUUUCUUGUUGAUCAAUGUGAUGAGGGAGACUUUGGACUCUGUAUUUCAUCAUAAUGAAAUAAAAUUUUAAGUGUUUUGGCAA